GCUCCAGUCGUCUAGUCCGGUCAAGGAUAACGGCCUUUCGAGUCGUUGACCCGGGUUCAAAUCCCGGCUGGAGCA
rnacentral:tRNA from 1 species